CUAUACAUGACUCUGCGCAUAUCAAUAAGCGGAGGAAAAGAAACUAACAAGGAUUCCCCUAGUAACGGCGAGUGAAGCGGGAAGAGCUCAAAUUUGAAAUCUUAAAGGGUUUCCCUUUACGAAUUGUAGUUUAAAGAAGUGUUUUCUGUUGAGGUUUUGGUAAAAGUUCUUUGGAAUAGGACAUCAUAGAGGGUGAGAAUCCCGUAUUUGACCUUUACUUUCAACUUUGUGAUACACUUUCAAAGAGUCGGAUUGUUUGGGAAUGCAGUCCAAAAUGGGUGGUAAAUUUCAUCUAAAGCUAAAUAUUGGCGAGAGACCGAUAGCGAACAAGUACCGUGAGGGAAAGAUGAAAAGAACUUUGAAAAGAGAGUUAAACAGUACGUGAAAUUGUCAAAAGGGAAGCGUUUGACACCAGUGUUGUUUUUCUGAAAAUCAAUUAAAGAACUGUUUAUGCUAAGUUAUUUAGACUUUAUCAGCUAACUGUUUAGUUUUGAGCUUUUCUUUAAUGCACUUUUCAGUUAACAAGUCAACAUCAAUUUCUUUUGCUGUAAAAAAGCUUGAGGAAGGUGGCUUGAGAUUCGUCUUAAGUGUUUAUAGCCUCUUGCCUAUGCAGUCGGAGAGAUUGAGGUCUGCAGCGUAGAUCCUUCGGGGCUAAAUGCAUUUGUGCUAAGUUAUAGCAUUUUAUAGACAACUUGUUGACUAUGAUUUGUCUUGUAGCUUACUCGCUUAUGUUAUUUUACCUACGCUUAGGAUGUUGACAGCAGUAUAGACUGU
rnacentral:rRNA from 1 species